rnacentral:rRNA from 1 species
AUUAGAGUUUGAUCCUGGCUCAGAUUGAACGCUGGCGGCAUGCCUUACACAUGCGAGUCGAACGGUAACGGAUCCUUCGGGAUGCCGACGAGUGGCGAACGGGUGAGUAAUACAUCGGAACGUGCCUGGUAGUGGGGGAUAACUACUCGAAAGAGUGGCUAAUACCGCAUGAGAUCUCAGGAUGAAAGCAGGGGACCCUCGGGCCUUGCGCUAUCAGAGCGGCCGAUGGCAGAUUAGGUAGUUGGUGGGAUAAAAGCUUACCAAGCCGACGAUCUGCAGCUGGUCUGAGAGGACGAUCAGCCACACUGGGACUGAGACACGGCCCAGACUCCUACGGGAGGCAGCAGUGGGGAAUUUUGGACAAUGGGCGCAAGCCUGAUCCAGCAAUGCCGCGUGCAGGAUGAAGGCCUUCGGGUUGUAAACUGCUUUUGUACGGAACGAAAAGCUUCGGGCUAAUACCCUGGAGUCAUGACGGUACCGUAAGAAUAAGCACCGGCUAACUACGUGCCAGCAGCCGCGGUAAUAAU